rnacentral:rRNA from 1 species
UACGAGAGGUCCAAACGUUAUUCGGAAUCACUGGGCUUACAGAGUUCGUAGGCGGUACGGAAAGUGGGGUGUGAAAGCCCUCGGCUCAACCGAGGAACUGCGCUCCAAACUACCGUGCUAGAGGAAGAUAGAGGUGAGCAGAACUGAUGGUGGAGCGGUGAAAUGCGUUGAUAUCAUCAGGAAUACCGGAGGCGAAGCCGGCUCACUGGGUCUUUUCUGACGCUGAGGAACGAAAGCUAGGGGAGCAAACGGG